rnacentral:rRNA from 1 species
AGGGUGCGAGCGUUAAUCGGAAUUACGUGGGCGUAAAGCGCAUGCAGGUGGUUUGUUAAGUCAGAUGUGAAAGCCCGGGGCUCAACCUCGGAAUUGCAUUUGAAAACUGGCAAACUAGAGUACUGUAGAGGGGGUAGAAUUUCAGGUGUAGCGGUGAAAUGCGUAGAGAUCUGAAGGAAUACCGGUGGCGAAGGCGGCCCCCUGGACAGAUACUGACACUCAGAUGCGAAAGCGUGGGGAGCAAACAGGAUUAGAUACCCUGGUAG